UUGACAGCACUGGAGACUAAAGUCCUGAAUUUAUCCAUUGAACAGGUUCAGCACGGGUAGCAGCAGUGCAAGAUUCUCCACACUGCCCUGCCACUGUGCCUCAGCUCUGACCUGGAGGGACCACCUCUAGGGGUGAGACCGUAGUUCAGUCUCUCUCCAUGCUUCUUCAGUCCUUGGAUUCU
rfam:Mesitornis unicolor contig45938, whole genome shotgun sequence.